rnacentral:rRNA from 1 species
AAGGAAUAUUGGUCAAUGGACGCAAGUCUGAACCAGCCAUGCCGCGUGGAGGAUUAAGGCCCUCUGGGUUGUAAACUCCUUUUAUCUGGGAAGAAAUGUACUUUUUCUUGAGUACUUGACGGUACCAGAGGAAUAAGCACCGGCUAACUCCGUGCCAGCAGCCGCGGUAAUACGGAGGGUGCAAGCGUUAUCCGGAUUCACUGGGUUUAAAGGGUGCGUAGGUGGGCAGAUAAGUCAGUGGUGAAAUCUUCCGGCUUAACCGGGAAACUGCCGUUGAUACUAUUUGUCUUGAAUAUUGCGGAGGUAAGCGGAAUAUGUCAUGUAGCGGUGAAAUGCUUAGAUAUGACAUAGAACACCAAUUGCGAAGGCAGCUUACUACACAAUCAUUGACACUGAGGCACGAAAGCGUGGGUAGCGAACA